rnacentral:rRNA from 1 species
UGGGGAAUAUUGGACAAUGGGCGAAAGCCUGAUCCAGCCAUGCCGCGUGUGUGAAGAAGGUCUUCGGACUGUAAAGCACUUUAAGUUGGGAGGAAGGGCAGUUACCUAAUACGUAUCUGUUUUGACGUUACCGACAGAAUAAGCACCGGCUAACUCUGUGCCAGCAGCCGCGGUAAUACAGAGGGUGCAAGCGUUAAUCGGAAUUACUGGGCGUAAAGCGCGCGUAGGUGGUUUGUUAAGUUGGAUGUGAAAUCCCCGGGCUCAACCUGGGAACUGCAUUCAAAACUGACAAGCUAGAGUAUGGUAGAGGGUGGUGGAAUUUCCUGUGUAGCGGUGAAAUGCGUAGAUAUAGGAAGGAACACCAGUGGCGAAGGCGACACCUGGACUGAUACUGACACUGAGGUGCGAAAGCGUGGGGAGCAAACAGGAUUAGAUACCCAGGUAGUCCCUGAGCGGGCUGGCAAGGCGCAU